GGUGUCUUUCUGAUGAUUUGAAGCGAUUCUAAGAAACCCCUUUUAGUCGAAAAGAGUUGUAAAAACAAGAAAACGGCAGUAUCAGACAAAUGAUUUCAACCCUUUUGACAACUUAUUGUGAGGAAAUGGGACAGAGGAGAUUUAGGGUUAAUUAAUCCGACUUUCCGUCACUCCUAUAAUAAGUAUUGAUUGUCUCAAUGUAGUAUAUUUGGUUAAAAGAUGUUAUGCUCCUGCCAAACUGUGUGAGAGAUCCAUCCUACGUACAAUUUUGAUAUAUCGAAACUAGCUGAAUUAUUUACAAAUCAUUAAAGCUCCAUUUUGGUUUGAAAGAGUAUUAUAAUGUAAACAAAUAGAAUAAUGUUUUGGAAAUUCAACUUCUAUGUAGCGAAGUUCAAAAGAGGUAUCGUAGGUAAAACAAUGAGCAAUUUUUUCAUUUCACACGUGGUAUCUCGAGGAUUGUGUGCUCGAGUCAUGAAGUUUAGUGAAAAUCAAGGAGUUUAAACUAAUAAAGAUUGAAACUAAUAGAUCUCUAUCCUCUACAUUAUUCUCUUAGUACUAUUUUAGAGUUACACAAGUAAACCAUGCUUGCAAAGGUACCUGUUUACAUGAAACCCCGACCAAAACUAAAAUCGUAAAGACAGUAAUUAACUAGAUAGAUAUAUAGAGAGCACAAAUUAAGUUGAAUUCUAAGCUUUUAAAUGCACAAUUUAUGAAAUUUUGCAGCAUUUAGCAAAUUACUACUUUAUAAUAGAAAAAAGAAACAGCAAUAAGAAAAUCAUUUCACAAACUCACAUCAUCAUCAUCAUCUGAAUCACUAGAGACGGCGGCAGGCUCAGCAACAUUCUCAAACAUAGCUGGUGAAGACCAGGAAUUAGCUUGAGAUGUAACAGAUGAAGCUUUCCCCACCAUUCUUGCCUCAAGUUUCGCUAUUUUUGUAGGCAAAGACUGGUCAGAUUGGUUAGAAGAAUUGGAUGCAAAAUGAAUGACCAUAUCAUCAGCCAUUCUUGAAAAAAGAACAAAGAUAUCAGAUCAUUCCCAACUGACCCAAAACAACAAAGAACCUAAAAAAGUGAACUUGGGUGUCUUUUAAUAAUUUUGAAGCGAUUCUAAAAUACCCUUUUAGUCAAAAAGAGUUGUAAAAUCAAGAAAACGGCAGUAUCAGAGAAAUCAAUUCAACCCUUUUGACAACUUCUUGUAAGGAAAUGGGACAGAGGAGAUUUAGGGUUAAUUUAAUUCCCUUUUCUUGAGGAAAAUGGAAAGAAUCAAAGAGAGGGAAGUACUAAAAAAUAGUUGAGGGGGAGAUUUUUGAAAUCCCAAGAAGUAGUCUUUUUGGGAAGAGCAAAAAAAGUUAUAGUU
rnacentral:lncRNA from 1 species